AUUCACUUAUAAGCGCCAGAACUUAGUAAUUAUGUAAGAUAAUUAAAGAAAAAGUACUGAGUUGACGAGGUCAGAGUUUAUCGAAUUAUCGGCGGAUGCUCUGCGGUGUAUUUACCAUCGUUAGAACUUGCUUAAAACAUAGAAGUAAUUCUGUGGACAAAGGGAAGUUUAUGUAAAUAU
rnacentral:ncRNA from 1 species